GACGAACGCUGGCGGCGUGCUUAACACAUGCAAGUCGAACGGAAAGGCCCUGCUUUUGUGGGGUGCUCGAGUGGCGAACGGGUGAGUAACACGUGAGUAACCUGCCCUUGACUUUGGGAUAACUUCAGGAAACUGGGGCUAAUACCGGAUAGGAGCUCCUGCUGCAUGGUGGGGGUUGGAAAGUUUCGGCGGUUGGGGAUGGACUCGCGGCUUAUCAGCUUGUUGGUGGGGUAGUGGCUUACCAAGGCUUUGACGGGUAGCCGGCCUGAGAGGGUGACCGGCCACAUUGGGACUGAGAUACGGCCCAGAAUCCUACGGGAGGCAGGAGUGGGGAAUAUUGCACAAUGGGCGGAAGCCUGAUGCAGCAACGCCGCGUGCGGGAUGACGGCCUUCGGGUUGUAAACCGCUUUCGCCUGUGACGAAGCGUGAGUGACGGUAAUGGGUAAAGAAGCACCGGCUAACUACGUG
rnacentral:rRNA from 1 species